AAUACAUUGAUUUAAAAAAAAAAAAUUUAAAAAAUUCAGUCUAUUUCAAAUCUAUUGAAAAAAAUAGAUUAAUCCCCAAAAAAUAUAGCUAACAAAUGUACUCACCGGUGAUAUUCAAGUGGCAUAUGUAGUCUAACAAAUUUAAUACUAUAAACCACAUAUUUUCACACCAAAAAUAUUAUAUUGUAAAGAAUUAAACACCAGUUUUUAACUUCCACCUAAUUCCAUACAUUAUAAGUAUCAUAACCUAUUAUCCUUCAAUAGAGCUAGGUUAGUGGGUCAAACAGCCCCGCUAAACCAUGGGUCGAUUCAUUUUUUGACUCAAAAUUUUGACCUGCAUCUAUGGAUACGCUUAAAUUGGCUGAUACAGAGUCAACACUGUGGACUGAGGCACAAGUAGUGAAUGACCAGAGGAAGACACCACAAAUAAUAGAUGCGAUAUUGCCGUCGAUCCUAGAAAGAUGGUGUUUUACAGAUGGCUCGUGGAAAGAGGGGGAUAGUUUUUCAGGACAAGGUUGGCUUAGUACUUUGGAAGGUUUUGAUGGAUUGUUGGGGGCGAGGAAUGUUACGGCUAGUCUAUCGCCUCUUCAUGCAGAGAUUGAAGCGUUGCUCUAGGCAAUGGAAUGUAUGAGGAAUUUACGUUAAUUUCAGAUUACGUUUGCAACAGAUUGUUCUCAAUUGGUGAAGAUGGUUUCCGAACCAGAAGAAUGGUCAGCUUUUGCAAACUAUUUGGAAGAUAUCAAGACCCUGAAAGAGAGCUUCACCGGAUCAGAGAUUAUCUAUGUACCACGGAUGCAAAAUUCAAAGGCGGAUCGUCUAGCGCGCAGUGCUAGAAAGCAACCGUCUUUUGUCGUUCACAUGGAUUCAGAUCACCCGGUUUGGUUUACAGAGUCAGUAUGAGUCUGUAUUGUUGAUGACAAAAAAAAAAAUUGACAUGCAUGACCCAUAAAGAAAAAUUAUAUACCGCAUCCGCUCCGCUCCGCUCAGAUUUGUGGGUAAUUCACGACACCCGCAUAUAAUAUUAUUUUGAAAAAGAAUUAUUUAAUGCAUUUUCUAAAAUAUAAUAUAAAUAAUAUAUUUAUAAUUAAAUUUUCUAUAUCUUUUUUAAUUUUUGAUAAUUUUUUUUAAAUCUUAUUUUUUUUAAAAAUAUACUUUUACUUACAAAAAUAAAUUUUUUUAAAAAAACUUUUUUUUAAUAAAAAAUAGUAUUAUGGAUUGGCGGGUACCCGCAAUUCAAAAUCCCCCAAUCUGGAUCGGCCCCGCAUAAAAAUCUCAUACCCCAAACCUGCGAAUCAAAAUUUUUAAAUAGUUCGAUCCACACCCGCCCCGCGUCAGGUCAACAGGGCAAGGCCCGUGGACUAUGAUUCAUAUUCCCAGGCCUAUCCUUCAAUCAAAAAAAUCGAAACCCAUAUCCACACAGAUAAUGGUUUGACUUGCUUUAAUGGUUUAGUUCCUAAACUGAUAUCAAUAUAGUUGGAAUUGAAAUAUAAUUUAAAUCGAACUAACAUGAGAUCAAACUACAAACCGACUCACCCUUCUAAAAAAGCUUUGGCAAGACCAAACUAAUUUCCAAAAUCAAUUUUCUUCCCUACAAAAUCUAAAUUCGAAAACUCCAAGACCUUAUAAACUGACUAUAAACCAAUAUGUGUUGGUUUAAAUUUGUAUCUUAAACAUUAAACUAGAUUUUGACCCAUAUUAAAUGUGGGUUAUGUAAUUUUAAAACAGAUAAAUAAAAUGAUAAAAUAAUAAAUUAAGAUUUUAUUAUUUUUUUAGUGUUGGACAAAAUAUCCAAACCCGAAUAACUGAACCGAACCCCAUACAAAAAGGUAUCUGAACAGAAAACUGCUAAGAUAUCCAAAUAGAUCCAAAACUUUUGUAUAUAAAGAAGAAGAUACCCGACUUGAAUCGAGAUAUUUUGGAUACCCGAGUAACAAUUCUUUAUUAAAUAUAUUAAUUAUUUUUAAGUCAAAUAUUCUAAAAAUAUUCAGCAUACAAAAAAAACACUCAGAAUUAUCCAAAUAAUUUGGAAGAUAUCUAAAAGUAAAUGUCCAAAAAAUAUUCAAAACAUGAAAUUAGCUAAGAAUAACUAAUUUCAUGUUAAUUUUAGAUUUUUAGCGUACAAUAUUCAAAUUUAUAUGUUGCAUAUUUUCUGAAUUAGUUUAUAUAAUUUAAAUGGAUAUCUGAACUUAGACUGAAUCUGCAAAGAUUUGAUACGAACCCGAAUCAAAAUUUAUAAAUAGGUUUUAUGGCUCUGAGAGGAAGACUCUCGUGGUAUGUAUCAACAGAAGAAGGCCUUGAACUAACAGAAGAAAAAUUGUGCUGUAGAUGAAUGAUUAAGAGAAUGUAUAAAACUAGUGAUGUUCUUUUUAAACACAUUUUUGUUUUUCUCUGUGUCUCUAUACUUUCUUGCAUGAUCCGAAUAUCUAAUACUAUAAAGUUGGCUUUUCUCCCUCCUUAGAGUGCCACAUCAUCGGUUAGAAGGGGGCAUAUGCUGACACGUCAGCUUCUCUAUCUGAAAACGCAAAUGUUUCGUCUCUUCGAGAAUUUCUUAAUGGGCCAGUUAUUAUAGCUACUACACGACACUAAACUUAGUCUUAACAUUAUAAUUGCAUGUUUGACCAUUUUGUAAACGAUGGGCUACUAGGUGAAUUUAAUUAUAACGAGAAGCCCAUCUACGUUCUGUAGUCUUAUUCUUCCUGAACCUUGUGUUGUCUAACCGAAGAAGAACGCAGAGUGACAGUUGAGAAUUCUUUCCUUCGAUUUUCAAAGACAAGUAACGCCUUCCCAUAGCAUUCAAUUUCUCCCUGUAAUGAUUGCAAUAACAACCAUUAAACCACUCUCUCCACUCCUUCGUAUUGAUUUCAUUAUACAUCCAUGGUAACGCCAGAAUGUCUAAAACCUAGGGUUAUAAAUACGCUGGAGGCAGGACAUGUCAAUCAUCUCUCCCAACAAAACAUUCUAAACUUUCGAAUCCAAGCUCACCUACCUCCGAUGGCCACCUCACGUAUCAUUCUCAAUAAUUAGAAAACCGGGCGUUGCUCUAACAAAGCGGAGAUCUGUAUGCUCUGAUUCUGGGAAGCCCGUAAUGUCAAGAAAGGAGGUAUAAAAAGUGGGAUUCAAUCCGCUGCCAUAUGAGGUAUUUGCUCUCCACUGCGAUGUUAGUAUAUCAAUCCAUCCAAUUGGUUAAUCUAAAGUUUGUCACCAAGGUCAACAAUUUACUUUCAUUCUUUGCCGUUUGUAUAUUAUGAGUUAAACAAGCGAAGGGAUAUGAUCAACUCAUUCAGUUUUGAAUAUAAAUUUAUAAUGUAUAUUAAGAACUUUAGUGCCUUUUCAGCAAAAGUUGACUAUGGAAGAUCAAAACAAGCACUUCACUACAACCAGAGGCCAUGCCGGCCCGAUUGUGGGAAGAAAAAACUCAGGUCCUGAGAUAAAGAAUUCUUCGUUACGUUGCAGUAUCUAUAUCUGUUUUUCUUUAUCAUAUCACCAUCAGCUAACUUGAGUCUAUAUGUUCAGAAAAAGUAACAAUGAGGAAAAAGAAGGGCUCACUGGUUACUGGUACUUUCCAAAACCAGAUCUUCCAGAAAUAAUACUCGCCCAAGGAUACUUUGAUAGCAGCCGAGCUUCUUAGCCGGAGAUAAUGUUUCAGUCAUUGGCCAAAGAUGGAACUAUCCAAGUAAUGAAAAAAUCAUAGACUUUGUUCAGGAAAGUAUAUGCUAUGCUAAUCAAAUAAAUACAUAAUUUAGUUUCAUGCGAGUCAUUUGUAAAACUUCAUUGAUAACAUAUUUCAGGCUUACCUUACUGUAAAAUGAUUUUAGCUACUGUGUGAUAUAUGUUACAGAUUACCGAUCAUGUGGAGAUUGAGAUAAAGGUUAUGACUGUUGUCUACGAAUCUCAGAGAUAGCUUGAGCAGAACAUAAGUGGGAAAAUCAAAUAUUCACGGCUCUUCAUCAGCCAGGAAUGGCAAAUACGACCAGCCUUUUUCUUGAUUCAGCCCACUGAUGUAUGUUUGGGUGAUUGCAAAAUUACCAGUGUAAACAUUUCAAUUGACCCCACAUAUUGUAUGUUUUUUGUUUCCAUAUUUGUGAUCGUGCAGUUGAAGACCAUUAAAAAAAUUACCAGUGUAAACAUUUCAAUUGACCCCACAUAUUAUGUUUUC